UAAAAGAUCCAUAAAUCAGAUUAGUCUGCUUGAAUGUUCUAUCUAGUAAGAGAACCACGGUCGAAGUGAUGUGAUGAUUGUUAUGUUUCUUUAAAGAAUAUGGCAAGAUGGCGACAUAUUUGAAGCGAACGUCAAAAUUGUUUGAUACUUCUUUGACACGAUCAUCAGUAGAUAUUAGUCUUAGAGAUUUAAUAUGUCCAGUAUGCCGAAGUAUUCUAAUUGAACCAGUAACAUUGCCGUGCACACACAAUCUUUGUUUAAAAUGUUUAAAAGGUACAUUCGAACACAAUAGCUUGAGUUGUCCUCUGUGUAGAAUACGAGUCGGUUCUUGGCUACGUACAGCAACGAAGACUGAAACAUUAGUUAAUAACAAUCUUUGGGAAUUAAUUCAAACUAAAUUUUCUAAAGAAGUUGAAAAUAAAUAUAACGGUGACGAUAGAAGUGUCGAUUUGGAUGCUGACUAUACUGGUACUAAUAAAAUACUUAGUGCAGCUGGAGAAAUUCGACAGGAAUAUGAAGUGCAACUUCAAAUGGCCGAGGAAGAAAUACGAUGUCAAAGAAAAGCUGAACAGAUAGCCAGUGAAACUUUAAUUCGCAAAAUUCAGGAGGAAGAGCAACAACAAAAACUAGCUCAAUUAACUCAAGAUCAAUUACUUGCUAAAUCUUUAGUAAAGAAACAACUCGAAGACAAGCACAAAGAAGUAUCUAAAUAUAAAAAUUCUUUAAAUGUAUCUAAUACUUUUCAUAAUUCAAAAUUUAAUGUUGCUACUAUGACUGAAGUUAAUUCAUGUAAACUGCAGCCUCAUGGUUCAAAGUAUGAAAAAGCAUCUCUUUUAGAGUCUCAAGAUAAUUCUGGAUUAAGAAGAUCAAAUAUUGCAUUAAUUUCUAAAAUUCGUGCAGAAAGAUAUGUAUCUAAUAUAAAAAAUAAUAUAGAUUUGUCUAAUACAUGUAAUGAUUCUACAAGUAAAUUUUGUUGUCAAAAAACUAUACCUGUAUAUAAUACUAUUUCAAGAACUUUAAAACAUCAAACAGCCAAAAUAAUAGAACCUUGUAUUUCAAAAUGUUCCAUGGAACCAAGAACAUCUAUUUCAAAAAUAUAUGGUACUCAAAGUAAAGAAGAGUUGCAUGUACCAAAUGAUAUUGUGAACAAUAAAAAAAAAAGCUUAAGUGUAGAAGUUUGUGUAUCUUCGGGAGAUGAUGACGAAAGAAUGGGAAGUGCCGAUAGUCACGAUAGUCAUGAUAGCAUUAAUCAAGAAAUUCAUCAUUUUAAACCUAUUAAAGCUAUGCCAAGAACACCAUUAAAAAUGUCUACAGAUGGAAGACAAAUAGAUCCAAAACUAAUUAGAGUUGUUCCUAUACUUAAAAGAAUAUCUAAUGUUAUACCUAAACCUCCAUCUCAAAUUCAUUUAAAACGAAUUAUUGGAUGUUCUUGGAGUGCAUUUCGAGGUAAAACUAAACAGAGCUUUAAAGAGAAAGAUGUAUAUAAGGAAGACAUUGAACAAAUGCCAUCAACAUCUUGUAAUCAAUCGCAAAUUAUCGUUAACAAAACAACAAAAUUUCAAACUCAUGAUAAUAUUCGUAAACUCGAAUAUAUUUCGGAUUUGUCAUUUGAUUCUAAUAAGAAUUAUGCUAAGAAUGUAAAUAUAAUUAAUGGUACUAAGAUCAGUAAAAAGUUAAUGUUAGAAGAAAAUAGAGACGUUAGAAAAGUACAAAAAUCUUGGAAAUCUCAUAUUAGAAAUGGCAUGGUAUGUAAAUCUAAACGACAAAAAACUUUAUGGACUAAAAAAGAUAUUAAGAUUGCAACAAAUACAAAAUAUAUGAAUGAUAUCGAAAUGAAAAAUAUAAGUUCUCCAUCUACAUUUUGCAAUGAAAAAUCUGAGAUACAGGAAGAAGAUGAAAUAACAAUGGAAAAUAUUGCAGAACGAAUAAAGAAAAGAAAAAUAAAUACAGAUAAAAAGAAAACUAAUACAGUAUCUUCUUCAUAUUCAGAUUUAAAAAUUACUAGAAGAGAUACAAAGGAAUUAUGUAGAAAAGAAGAAUUUGAAUACAAGAUAUCAAAUGAUGUUCCUGUUACAAUACAAAAAAGGAAUAGAACUAAGUUUACAAAAACUGCCUUACCGAAAUCAAAACAGCGAAGGAUACGUUCAACAAAACAGUCUAUUACAGAAAAUUCUGGAAAAAGUGACACUUCUAUAAGAUUAAGCUGUCGGAUUAGCAAUUCAGAAUUAAGAAAAACAACACGAAAGAUAAAGCAAACUAAUAUUUCUAUGAGUAAUGGAACAGAUAUAAUGUAUGAGAAUAUGGAUAGUAAUAAUUGUAAUUCAUCUGAAUCUUGCAUUGAAAUGCAAGAACGUAUAUCAAAAAAUAAUAAUAGUACUGAAACUAAUACAAUCAUAGAGAAAAAUGUUCUUUCGGAUGAAGAGAUCAUUAAAGAACAAGAACGAAUGGAAAGAUUAGUUAUACAAGAAAAAGAAGAUUUUGAAUUAGCUCAAAGAUUGCAAGCGAAAUUUGAUGAGAUGGAAGGAAUAGCUGGUCGAACCAGGCGAUCUAAAAAAGCAAUUGAGAAUGAAACGAUUGAGUUAGAUUUGUAUAAAAUCGAUACUAGAAGAAAUGUACAAAAAGCAAUGAAUUCUCAUACUGCCAAGUCAUCAAUUAUCAAUCAUACUAUAAAUACCGAGACUAAAAAACGUGGUAGACCUCCAAAACGUGUAAAAUAAUCUAUCAGCAUUGGUCGUUACGUCGGCAAACCGCGAACCUUCCAAAUGGAUGUUCCUAUAAAUUAUAAAAAAAAGAUAUGAACGAAUUAAUAACAUUGACGGAAAUUAUUUUUGAUGAAUAACAUAUGGAAAUAAAAAUGGAUAUAAGAAAUAGAUGAAAAAUAUAUAAAGACAAUUGAAAAACAAUUUUGUAAAGACAUAUGUUAUUAAAUGCUUCAACGCUAGUUAUAUGGCGUCAUAAUUUGUUGUUAUACAACAAUAGGGUAAUGCGCCAAAUUUACACCUCAUUAAAUUUAUUUCAUAUUCCGUCAAUAGUGAUAGUCUUUCACUUUUAUAUAUAUGAUUAAAUAUCGUAUAUACUCUAGUAAAAUACGAUUUUGAAAAAAAUUGAAUUGAGAUUGUUCUGAAUACAAUUUAUCGGGCAAUCAUACUAAAAAUACGCAUUGAUAGAAUUUCAAAAUAAGAGAUGUAUGGGAUAAAUUAAAUAAAAUAUAAGAUUUAUGAAUGUAGAAAGAAAAUAUUUACAUAUAUACAGGUUACAUACAAAUAAUAUUGUCAAAUAAUAUGUAUCAAUAAAUAAGAUAUAGUAUGUAUAGCCUCGAUCCAAAAAUAAACGGAUAGAAUAAUUAAACAGAAAAAUUAACAAAAGAAUGAAUAGCAGAAUAAUAUAAUGGCGGUAAGCGAAUGAAUUUUUAAAAAGUCAUUUUUAUAUGCAUCGCAUGCGGAUACAAAUAAUGUAUCGAAAGUAAUGGAAAGGAAGCAAUUAUCGAGUACUAUUCUUUCUGAUACCUUUUAUGUAUCAAUACGAAUAAACAAAUGUAAUUAUUCUAAA
rnacentral:misc_RNA from 1 species